rnacentral:lncRNA from 1 species
UCGCCGGCGUUGGAGGUCAAGCUCCGGCCACGUCACCUAGUGCCACCCCAGCACCACCAACACCCACUACCCCAUCUCCUCCUACUACCCCUGCACCUACUGGUUCUCCUCCGCGAACUCAACCACCUCCAGCAUCUUCCCCGCCGCCGGCAGUUUCAUCUCCGCCACCUACAUCAACAUCACCACCUCCAGCUGUAUCAGCUCCACCACAAGCUACACCUCCACCGGCAGCUACUCCUCCUCCAGUGAGUGCUCCACCACCGGCUAGUCCUCCACCACCAGUUAGCUCUCCACCACCGGCUACUCCUCCACCUGUGGCUACCCCACCACCUCCUGCCACUCCACCUCCCAGCCCACCUCCGCCUGCUGCUGCACCUGCACCAGUUGCAACUCCGCCAGAUUCGACUCCGGCUGCUGCACCUACGACUGUAGCCACAUCUCCGGCACCAUCUCCAUUGGGAGUAUUGAGUCCUCCAGCACCUCCCAUGGGUGCU